rnacentral:tRNA from 1 species
GGAGGGGCCAGCCGAGGGAUGGCGGCGGCCGCGGCCUUGAAAGCCGAGUGCCCUUCGGGGCGUGCGGGUUCGAUCCCCGUCCCCUCCGCCA